rnacentral:lncRNA from 1 species
UGCUCAACCUGAAGAUGGAAGUUCGUGAGCCUCAGGCUGCUGCUGACCACAAUGAAAUAGUCUGUCUGAGAAUUACACCAAUACAGAGGCAAGCAGAGAGGGGAAGAUACAGAGAGACAGAGACCUGAUGCCAUUUGUGAGCCCCUGCAUUCAGCCACACCUGACACUUUCCCAUUCAUAUGAGCUCAUCUGUGUAUAUAUCAGCCAGUUUGAAUUGGAGUUUUGUUCCCUGCAACCAAAGAAAUGAUGAAAAAUACUCAUAAAACAUGGAGCAAAUGUCAGGUCUCAGAGAGUCAAGACUGGUGACAACGGUAAUGAUCAGAGAUCAGAUUAGAAUGUUUUCUGAUUGGAGUCCAGCCCUGUAGAAGUAUGAGAUUUGGGGAAUGAUUGCUCUUCCUCACACGUCUGGUGCUGACUUUGACAUGGGAAGAGCAGAGAUGUUAUUAGAGGUCUGGAUGUCAGGAAGAUGACAAGGAUGACAUCAACACCAGGAGCUGCGAGGAGAAGUGAUUAGGGAACAUGCUCAGAAUGAAUGCACACUGGAGUGAGG